UGGGGAAUAUUGGGCAAUGGGGGAAACCCUGACCCAGCAAUGCCGCGUGAAGGAAGAAGGCUUUCGGGUUGUAAACUUCUUUGACGAGGGACGAAACAAAUGACGGUACCUCGAAAACAAGCCACGGCUAACUACGUGCCAGCAGCCGCGGUAAUACGUAGGUGGCAAGCGUUGUCCGGAUUUACUGGGUGUAAAGGGCGUGUAGGCGGGUCUGCAAGUCAGAUGUGAAAUUUAUGGGCUUAACCCAUAAACUGCAUUUGAAACUGCAGGUCUUGAGUGAUGGAGAGGCAGGCGGAAUUCCUAGUGUAGCGGUGAAAUGCGUAGAUAUUAGGAGGAACACCAGUGGCGAAGGCGGCCUGCUGGACAUUAACUGACGCUGAGGCGCGAAAGCGUGGGGAG
rnacentral:rRNA from 1 species